rnacentral:sRNA from 1 species
GCCAGCGAGAAAGCGUUGCCGCAGGCAACGACCCGAAGGGUGAAGCGCGCAGCGCUGAGUAAUCCUUCCCCCACCACCA